GCUGGGUGCAGUGGUGCAUACCUGUAAUCCCAGCAGCUUGGGAGGCUGAGGCAGGAGGAUUAAGAGUUCAAAGCCAACCUCAGCAACUUAAUGAGUCCUUAAAUUGCUUAGUGAGAUCCUGUCUCAA
rnacentral:sRNA from 1 species